rnacentral:piRNA from 1 species
UACUAGACACGUGGAAACCAGACA